rnacentral:rRNA from 1 species
UACGUAGGGCGCAAGCGUUGUCCGGAAUUAUUGGGCGUAAGAGCUCGUAGGCGGUUUGUCGCGUCUGCUGUGAAAACCUAAGGCUCAACCUUGGGCUUGCAGUGGGUACGGGCAGACUAGAGUGCGGUAGGGGUGACUGGAAUUCCUGGUGUAGCGGUGAAAUGCGCAGAUAUCGGGAGGAACACCGGUGGCGAAGGCGACCCUCUGGACGGACACUGACGCGUGAGACGCGAAAAGCGUGGGU